rnacentral:lncRNA from 1 species
AGUGUGUGCUAUUACUGAUUACUUACCUAAGAUAAUUCUGAUGUAACUGCAACAGCAAAGUCCUGUUUCCAUGGGGACUGUCUGGGUCUUGGAAAUCUGCGUUAGCACGAACUUCAAGUUAUUACGCUGAAUAUACUCCAUUGUAUGGAUGUACCACAGUUGUUGAUGAACAUCUUGGUUGCCUCCAGUUUUUGGCAGUUAUGAAUAAAGCUGCUAUAAACAUUCGUGUGCGGGUUUUGUGUGGACAUCAUGCUUGAUGAUAUGGUAAGACUAUGUGUAUCUUUGUGAGAAACUGUCAGUUCUGGAGUGGCUGUACCAUGU